AUUCUUCUCCUUCUAACAUUCUUAUGUUUUGUUUCUUUUCCAAUAGGUUCCAAAGUCUGGCGCGCCCCAGCUUGUGAGUAUUUUUGCCUGGGUUAUUUCAUGUGGAAUAUUUUAUAACGUUGCAUAGAAAAUGAACAGUUUAAACUGUGGAGGGCAGCUUCAUUCAUUCCAUUCCUUACUGUAGAACUGUUUCCCUACAGCCUAGUAAUAGAGAAGGAGACAUUUCUAAAAUCGUACCCAGAACUGUCUACACCAAGAGCAAAGAUUCGACUGUCAAUCACACUUUGACUUGCACCAAAAUACCACCUAUGAACUAUUUGUCAAAGAGCCUGCCAUUCGCUGCAAGGUUGAACACCCCCAUGGGCCCUGGACGAACUGUCGUCAUUAAAGGAGAAGUGAAUGCAAAUGCCAAAAGCUUUAAUGUUGACCUACUAGCAGGAAAAUCAAAGGAUAUUGCUCUACACUUGAACCCACGCCUGAAUAUUAAAGCAUUUGUAAGAAAUUCUUUUCUUCA
rnacentral:sRNA from 1 species